GACGAACGCUGGCGGCGUGCCUAACACAUGCAAGUCGAGCGGAGAUUGCAGUAAUGUAAUCUUAGCGGCGGACGGGUGAGUAACGCGUGGGCAACCUACCUUUAUCUGGGGGAUAACACAGGGAAACUUGUGCUAAUACCGCAUAAAAUCAUAAGAAGACAUCUUCUAAUGAUCAAAGGAGUAUUCCGGAUAGAGAUGGGCCCGCGUCCGAUUAGCUAGUUGGUGGUGUAACGGACCACCAAGGCGACGAUCGGUAGCCGAACUGAGAGGUUGAUCGGCCACAUUGGGACUGAGACACGGCCCAGACUCCUACGGGAGGCAGCAGUGGGGAAUAUUGCGCAAUGGGGGAAACCCUGACGCAGCAACGCCGCGUGAAGGAUGAAGGUUUUCGGAUCGUAAACUUCUUUGAUGAGGGACGAAUAAAUGACGGUACCUCAAGAACAAGCCACGGCUAACUACGUGCCAGCAGCCGCCGUAA
rnacentral:rRNA from 1 species